GGAUGGAUGUCUGAGCGGUUGAAAGAGUCGGUCUUGAAAACCGAAGUAUUGUUAGGAAUACUGGGGGUUCGAAUCACUCACCAUCCA
rnacentral:tRNA from 1 species